rnacentral:rRNA from 1 species
AUUGAACGCUGGCGGCAUGCCUUACACAUGCAAGUCGAACGGCAGCACGGGAGCAAUCCUGGUGGCGAGUGGCGAACGGGUGAGUAAUGUAUCGGAACGUGCCCAGUCGUGGGGGAUAACGCAGCGAAAGCUGUGCUAAUACCGCAUACGAACCAUGGAUGAAAGCGGGGGAUCGCAAGACCUCGCGCGAUUGGAGCGGCCGAUAUCAGAUUAGCUAGUUGGUGGGGUAAAAGCUUACCAAGGCGACGAUCUGUAGCUGGUCUGAGAGGACGACCAGCCACACUGGAACUGAGACACGGUCCAGACUCCUACGGGAGGCAGCAGUGGGGAAUUUUGGACAAUGGGCGCAAGCCUGAUCCAGCAAUGCCGCGUGCAGGAUGAAGGCCUUCGGGUUGUAAACUGCUUUUGUACGGAGCGAAAAGGCUCUCUCUAAUACGGGGGGCUCAUGACGGUACCGUAAGAAUAAGCACCGGCUAACUACGUGCCAGCAGCCGCCGUAA